rnacentral:rRNA from 1 species
CCGCAAGGAACAGUGGCAGAAGGGUUAGUAACACGUGGGCAACCUGCCCUUAAGACGGGGAUAACAUCUCGAAAGAGGCGCUAAUACCCGAUAAUAUUACCGAGUCGCAUGAUUUGGUAAUCAAAGGUAGCUCGCAAGAGCUUCCACUAAAGGAGGGGCCCGCGGCCUAUCAGCUAGUUGGUGAGGUAACGGCUCACCAAGGCGACGAUCAGUAUCCGGCCUGAGAGGGCGGACGGACACACUGGGACUGAGACACGGCCCAGACUCCUACGGGAGGCAGCAGUGGGGAAUUGUUCGCAAUGGGCGCAAGCCUGACGACGCAACGCCGCGUGGAGGAUGAAGAUCUUCGGGUCGUAAACUCCUGUCGAGCGGGAAGAACGCCUUGUGGGUUAAUAGCCCGCAGGGGUGACGGUACCGCUAAAGGAAGCCCCGGCUAACUCCGUGCCAGCAGCCGCGGUAAUACGGGGGGGGCAAGCGUUGUUCGGAAUUACUGGGCGUAAAGGGCUCGUAGGUGGCCAACUAAG